GAUGAAGAACGUAGCGAAAUGCGAUAAGUAAUGUGAAUUGCAGAAUUCAGUGAAUCAUCGAAUCUUUGAACGCACAUUGCGCCCGCCAGCAUUCUGGCGGGCAUGCCUGUUCGAGCGUCAUUUCAACCCUCGAGCCCGACUUCCUUGCGGAGGACGGCUCGGCGUUGGGGGACGGCACACUCCCCCCGGCUCGCCGGGGACGCAGCCCCCGAAAUUCAGUGGCGGCCCUCGGAGGCGACCUCUGCGUAGUAACUCAACCUCGCAAAGGGAAGCUCCGAGCGGCCACGCCGUGAAACCCCAACUAUAUCAAGGUUGACCUCGAAUCAGGUAGGACUACCCGCUGAACUUAAGCAUAUCAAUAAGCGGAGGA
rnacentral:misc_RNA from 1 species